rnacentral:lncRNA from 1 species
ACCGAGCUGGUGUGUUCUUCGGGAGAAGUCGUGUGGAAUAUCACGCUCCUGAUGGAAAUUUCCCUGCUUCCAUUUGAACAAGGAGCACAAGCCUGCAACAACCAUAAUAAAAGGUGGAUCAAGUCAGGAUACCUGGACUGAUGACCUUUUGAGAAGAAUAAAUCUUAAUUGGUGACUUUUGCAGUUGCAUGACAGUUCUUGGCAAAGUUGCCAAACCUUCAAAAUUAUUACUAUAUGUUUAUCACAUAUGGUACAGUAGGAUACGAACAAAUUAUGUGUGAAUCUUUUUUAGUUAGGUUGGCUACAAUCUGAACGAAGACAACAAUCGAAGUUUGCUAGGUGUAGGUGGUGCAGAGAAUCUUUCUGUUAUAUGGGAGUAUGGAACUGACUCCUGUACCUUCUCAAUCAUCUGAAUUUCUUUAUCGUCCGAAUUUUCCUACCAUCAUCAGCCCAUCAGUCUUCAUCACCUCUCUUGACAUUUUGUGCCUGAAAUAUCUUCCCUCAUCUGAUGUCUACCUAACAAGGUUCCUGUACAAAUUCACACCAUGAUCACGUUUUCGUACUUAAUUAUCCUCACCGUUUCGUCAGCUUCCAGGGUCGGUAGCCAUGUAUUUCAAACGAAAACGUGUGUCCAGUUCUCGACUUUUCGGCUUGACGAAGAAGACCGUCGCCCAAAAUCUGCACAUUUUCACACUUGGGCCAUUUUCAUUUUACAUGCCGGUUUUUACCGUGAUCAGAAACUUUUCAGAAUUCAUACUUAACAGUAACAGAUUAGGCGAAUUUCGGAAGAGUUUUGGCGUACCUUGCGUGCGAAUUGGAUCGGAAAUCAUGUGGAUGAUAUGCUGGUCUCCAAGGCCUGUGGCUGAUCGUUUCAGUUGGGCUAUGAGCUGGACCUGUGAUUCUCAUGACCGUGAGGUUGAUGUGCUGAAGCAGCUCGAUCUGGCAACCGGAGAUACGGUAUCAGGAUGGUUCUCGGCGCCGGAUUUGUGGUUGCCUUGAGCUCAGGUCGGGGUCGCUAACAUGGAUGUCUCGGCAACCAAUCAAAUCAAAUUCAUCUGUAGAAAAAUGAGAGGAAAACCACACAUAUCAAUGGCGUGAGUAGCGACUUCAGUUGAGUCGAAAGAUCAAACUGGGACAUUUCAGUGGUUACCGCUGGCCAACAUGCUUGGAACGCAGAAAUUUUUAUUUACUCAUGUGAGAAUUGAAAUGUCUUAAACCCUGUAAAAUUAUGCAUUGAAAAUGGGCCUUGAAUGGAUCAGAAACAUAGUAAACAAACCCAACGGAAAAUAAAGAUAACGUCUGUGCGGAUACAAAAGGGUUAAAAAAUUGAAAAGAAAAAAAAAAGAAAAGCUGAUACUGCAAUCAGGCAAAACUGAACGCAGAUGCUGUCUAUACGUUCAUGGAUGCGUGAAUAAAAACACGUCAGUUAAAACUCUAAUCGGAUUGAGAUCCGGUGCAGUUAUAAACUCUAACCAGCAUCAUAGGACUGUUAUGUAUUUUCAGCCGUUUAUUUUAAUGAUCAACAGUUCAGAUUCACUGCUAUAGUACUCGAACAACAGUAAAAUAAGCAAUGUUUUAUAUUACAACACUUUUGCCACAGUAUCAAAUUAAUCUGUACCGUUUAAGUUUGAUCCAACUUAGCAGCUACAACUGCUAAAGUUGCAGUCAAUAAUAUAAUUGCAGCUGAUUCGGAUCAAACUCCAAUCAGUCAGUGUGUGCUUCACAUUCUGUACCAACAAGUAACAUUAACUAUGAUCUGACGGGACGCUUUGGAAGACGAUUAAAAAGAUUAGGCAGAAUACUGUCAAUUACCUGGGUAACAUCAGAUGCGUGUUUACUCUUUACCUUCAUACGCAAAAGCUGUGGUACUCCCUGCCGAAGUCUUCAUCAAGUCAUAAUGCCACGGCUGAUCUUGAUUGUACGAUUUAGAAAGAGUCGUGAUGCUAGCCAACCAAAACUGCAGCAACAGACUUGUAUUUUUCAGUUGUUCACGUCAGAGAGUACACAUGAAAAAAAUCGUAUCCCAGUCGAACUAAGCAAGCCAGUCAUUACGAGUAUGAGCUUCCAGGUCAAAGAUGUACGAACAAGGCUUCUUUUUUCCAUCAAACACGAAAAUAAAACUCGAAAAGUUUCACUAAGUUUCCAUAAAAUAAAUUCUAGAGUGAAAAUCAGAGAAAGAAAGGAAUGACGGUCGAAUAGCAUUGCUUCUAGUAAGUAGUCACCGACCCAGUUUCUUGUUGAAAUAUACAAGUACAAAAUGUAAGAUUUGCAAACACCAGCAUCGAGAUUAUCAAAUAUGUCAACGGGAAGAACGACCGUGCGUGCAAAAUUCAUCAGGUUGCUGAUGUCGGUGAAGAAGUUGAACCUGCACGGUUGCAUGAGUGCGCUGCAUGACUACAAUUGGCUGCUAAUAACUAGUGCUCUACAUGACUACCUUCCAACAAUUUGUUUAAGUCUAUACUAACAAACCAAAGGCCCACUGAUUCCUGACCCAGUUUGUGCAGUAAGUAGUCAGCUGAUCAAACGGCACCUUGGUUUGCAGAAAUUACCUGGGUUAAUACACUCCUAUCAUUUUAGCAAAAGGAGGCAUGAGAAGCUAUAUGAUUGACUGCUUCAUGUAGCACAGAACUACAUUGAAAGGUGGCAGUGGAUAUCAAGUAUCAACAGCCGUCAGCAGAUUGUUUCUCCUGUGCAAAUUAUAUUAGCAUAAUGGGACUUGAGCACCACUAACUCUCCACUCAUCCAAUUGUCCAAUUGUUUAACCUGAUACACGAGCACCUGCCAUUGUACGAUGUUGCCUCCCAAAACAAGCUCCAUACUCCUAGCCUCUCAUCUGAGGCUCUGAAACCUUUCGUCUCAAACAAAAGAUCACAUAAUCUGUCCCCAUCUCCCAUCCAAGAAGAACUCACAUACCAACC